rnacentral:rRNA from 1 species
ACGGUCGCCUAACCGCAAGGGGGGGCGCCACCACGGUGAGNUUCAUGACUGGGGUG